rnacentral:rRNA from 1 species
AGAGUUUGAUCCUGGCUCAGGAUGAACGCUAGCUACAGGCUUAACACAUGCAAGUACGAGGGGAAACGACAUCGAAAGCUUUGCUUUUGAUGGGCGGUCGACCGGCGCACGGGUGAGUAACGCGUAUCCAACCUGCCCACCACUUGGGGAUAACCUUGCGAAAGUAAGACUAAUACCCAAUGAUAUCUCUAGAAGACAUCUGAAAGAGAUUAAAGAUUUAUCGGUGAUGGAUGGGGAUGCGUCUGAUUAGCUUGUUGGCGGGGUAACGGCCCACCAAGGCAACGAUCAGUAGGGGUUCUGAGAGGAAGGUCCCCCCACAUUGGAACUGAGACACGGUCCAAACUCCUACGGGAGGCAGCA